UGCGUGAGCAAUUUUUUUAAG
rnacentral:piRNA from 1 species